GAUGAACGCUGGCGGCGUGCCUAAUACAUGCAAGUCGAGCGAACGGACGAGAAGCUUGCUUCUCUGAUGUUAGCGGCGGACGGGUGAGUAACACGUGGAUAACCUACCUAUAAGACUGGGAUAACUUCGGGAAACCGGAGCUAAUACCGGAUAAUAUUUUGAACCGCAUGGUUCAAAAGUGAAAGACGGUCUUGCUGUCACUUAUAGAUGGAUCCGCGCUGCAUUAGCUAGUUGGUAAGGUAACGGCUUACCAAGGCAACGAUGCAUAGCCGACCUGAGAGGGUGAUCGGCCACACUGGAACUGAGACACGGUCCAGACUCCUAAGGGAGGCAGCAGUAGGGAAUCUUCCGCAAUGGGCGAAAGCCUGACGGAGCAACGCCGCGUGAGUGAUGAAGGUCUUCGGAUCGUAAAACUCUGUUAUUAGGGAAGAACAUAUGUGUAAGUAACUGUGCACAUCUUGACGGUACCUAAUCAGAAAGCCACGGCUAACUACGUG
rnacentral:rRNA from 1 species